UACGUAGGGCGCAAGCGUUGUCCGGAAUUAUUGGGCGUAAAGAGCUCGUAGGCGGUCUGUCGCGUCGGAUGUGAAAGCCCGGGGCUUAACCCCGGGUCUGCAUUCGAUACGGGCAGACUAGAGUGUGGUAGGGGAGAUCGGAAUUCCUGGUGUAGCGGUGAAAUGCGUAGAUAUCAGGAGGAACACCCGAGGCGAAGGCGGCUCUCUGGGUCGGACCUGACGCUGAGGCGCGAAAGCGUGGGAGCGAACGGG
rnacentral:rRNA from 1 species